rnacentral:lncRNA from 1 species
AAUUUUUUGAAUAUUUUAUCUUUGCUCAGAAAAAAAAAGAACAAAUUGCAAAUUAUCUAAGUUGUAUUUCUUUUGCAAGAAGAAAGCUUAUGGGUCCAGAUGGUUGGAUUGGCUCAUGGGCUAAUGACACUAAUACUUAAUGACAAUAUCACAGGAGACAGUGCCCAACUAUGACUAUACAAGGAGCAGAAGGAAAUCCUCCUUUCCCAUUCUGCUGCUCCUCUUCUUUUCUCUAAGCUCAUCUAGGCCGACAUUUGACAGUCAGAGGAUGCAUCAUCCAAGGAAACAGAGCCAAAUAUUUGAUUUGGAUGAUUGCAUGGAAAAUGUUUUCUCCUAGCUCCAGUGCCCAGGCUCUUUUCAAUGGAAGACUGUCAUUGUCAAAAACAACAUUCUCAAAUUUCUGGAUCUUUUGUUAAGAACAGAUCAAAGAACCAUGAAUGGAAUUUUUUAAUGAAACAACAGUUCAUAGUAAAAAUAAAAAAAAUAUUGAACUUGGAGUCAGAAGAAGAGAGUUAACUCUCUGGAGAAAGGCUUUUGGCAACUUUGCGGCUUGGGCAACUUUGUGGCUUGGGCGGCUUUUGUGGCUUUUGGCGACUUUCAGGCUUUGGCAGACUUGGCUCUGGAACUUGAACCUGGAGGAGCUCAGUGUGAGAUCUCAGACUGCUUUUCUUGAAGGGACUACAUGGAGGAUGACUCUUUGGGGCCUAAAAGAAAUAUACAAAGGCCUAGAGAAAUACUUUCAGCACCUCUUUGGAAGACUUAAAUGAAAUAAUGGACAAAAAUCAAGCAGGAUGAGAAAUCAUGACUGAGUUGCAGCCUACAACUAUGAGAGAGACUCACACUAAUGCAAUACCCAAAUCAAAAAUAGCAAAAUAGCUUAACCUAAAAGGAGGAGAAUUGGAUCUGUUGUGCUUUGAAGGUUUUACUCUGAAAAGAAAAAUACAAAUAAACUCUUCAAAGAGUUACCA